UUUAUUGGAGAGUUUGAUCCUGGCUCAGGACGAACGCUGGCGGCAUGCCUAAUACAUGCAAGUCGAGCGGACUUGAAGAGAAGCUU
rnacentral:rRNA from 1 species